AGUGGGGAAUAUUGGACAAUGGGCGAAAGCCUGAUCCAGCCAUGCCGCGUGAGUGAUGAAGGCCCUAGGGUUGUAAAGCUCUUUCAACGGUGAAGAUAAUGACGGUAACCGUAGAAGAAGCCCCGGCUAACUUCGUGCCAGCAGCCGCGGUAAUACGAAGGGGGCUAGCGUUGUUCGGAAUUACUGGGCGUAAAGCGCACGUAGGCGGACAUUUAAGUCAGGGGUGAAAUCCCGGGGCUCAACCCCGGAACUGCCUUUGAUACUGGGUGUCUCGAGUCCGAGAGAGGUGAGUGGAAUUCCGAGUGUAGAGGUGAAAUUCGUAGAUAUUCGGAGGAACACCAGUGGCGAAGGCGGCUCACUGGCUCGGUACUGACGCUGAGGUGCGAAAGCGUGGGGAGCAAA
rnacentral:rRNA from 1 species